GACGAACCGAGCGAACGUUAUUCGGAAUCACUGGGCUUAAAGGGUGCGUAGGCGGGCCCGUUAGUCAGGGGUGAAAUCCCACGGCCCAACCGUGGAAGUGCCUCUGAUACUGCGGGCCUGGAGGGGGAUAGGGGCGUGCGGAACUUCCGGUGGAGCGGUGAAAUGCGUAGAUAUCGGAAGGAACACCGGUGGCGAAAGCGGCAUCCUGGACCGGCAUUGACGCUGAGGCGCGAAAGCCAGGGGAGCAAACGGG
rnacentral:rRNA from 1 species